rnacentral:rRNA from 1 species
UACGAGGGGGGCAAGCGUUGUUCGGAAUUAUUGGGCGUAAAGGGCGCGUAGGCGGUGCGGUAAGUCACCUGUGAAACCUCUAGGCUUAACCUAGAGCCUGCAGGCGAAACUGCCGUGCUUGAGGGUGGGAGAGGUGCGUGGAAUUCCCGGUGUAGCGGUGAAAUGCGUAGAUAUGUGGAAGAACACCUGUGGCGAAAGCGGCUUUCUAGCUAUGACCUGACGCUGAGGCGCGAGAGCAAGGGGAGCAAACAGG